rnacentral:rRNA from 1 species
GACGAACGCUGGCGGCGUGCUUAACACAUGCAAGUCGAACGGAAAGGCCCUGCUUUUGUGGGGUGCUCGAGUGGCGAACGGGUGAGUAACACGUGAGUAACCUCCCCUUGACUUUGGGAUAACUUCAGGAAACUGGGGCUAAUACCGGAUAGGAGCUCCUGCUGCAUGGUGUGGGUUGGAAAGUUUCGGCGGUUGGGGAUGUACUCGCGGCUUAUCAGCUUGUUGGUGGGGUAGUUGCUUACAAAGGCUUUGACGGGUAGCCGGCCUGAGAGGGUGACCGGCCACAUUGGGACUGAGAUACGGACCAGAAUCCAACGGGAGGCAGCAGUGGGGAACAUUGCACAAUGGGCGGACGCCUGAUGCAGAAACGCCGCGUGCGGGAUGCCGGCCUUCGGGUUGUAAACAGAUUUCGACUGUGACGAAGCGUGAGUGACGGUAAUGGGUAAAGAAGCACCGGCUAACUACGUG